rnacentral:ncRNA from 1 species
GCCGAUUUGGUCCUAGUCCCAACUCUAGCUUUUUUAAACCUGCCACAUGCAAGCUAACAAGCAACCCAGUGAAAACAAAUUCUCUUCUCAAUCUAACUAAAAGAAAGAAAAGAAAAAGAUACUGAUAUCAGGAAAUAUAUCCAAAAACAUCAAGCAUCACUUGCCACAUCUGCAGUGCUAAAUAUUAGACAAUCAGAACAAUCUGGAUCUAGUAAAGAAUAUACAAAGGAGGUAAAAUACGUGCCAGCCACCGCGGUUAUACGUACAUCCUACAGCUAAAGUCUUUUUUAUUAACGGUUAAAAGGGUGGUUAAAGAAUUAUACCUCUUAUCUGAAGCUCUAAGUUAGUGGUAAAAAACUUACCUUAGAAGAAACAUACUAUUAGAUAACAUAAAAACUUGAACCCACGAAUACCAAGACCUAAACCAGGAUUAGAUACCCUGCUAUACUUAGAAGUUAACAACCUAAAGCACCAGAGAACUACGAACCAAAAGUUUAAAACUCAAAGGACUUGGCGGUUUUCCAAAUCUCCCUGGAGGAGCUUGCCAUUGAAUCGAUAAUCCACGUUACACCUCACCAACUUUUGAAAUUUACAGCCUGUAUACCAUCGUCGUAAGUCUACUCUCUAAGGAAGUUGACACAAAGAGAACACCUCCAGACGUCAGAUCAAGGUGCAGCCAAUAAGCUGGGGAUAGGUGAGCUACAAUGUUAUUUACAACCAGUGAAAGAAAACAUGAAAAAUGUUUCUGAAAUUGGAUUCAGCAGUAAGAAUAAUUAGAUAAUUAUUCUGAAGAGAGCUCUGGAAUGCGUACACAUCGCCCGUCACUCUCGCCUAACUUAAACUAAAAAGUAAGGGGAGAAAAGUCGUAACACAGUAGGCCUACCGGAAGUUAGGCCUGGAUAAACUAAAACU